GGUUAAGUUAACAAGGGCGCAUGGUGAAUGCCUUGGCACUAGGAGCCGAUGAAGGACGGGACUAACACCGAUAUGCUUCGGGGAGCUGUACGUAAGCUAUGAUCCGGAGAUUUCCGAAUGGGGCAACCCAGCAGUUUUAAUCAACUGUUACCACUAGAUGAAUUCAUAGUCUAGUUGGAGGUAAACGCUGUGAACUGAAACAUCUCAUUAGCAGCAGGAAUAUAAAGAAAUUUCGAUUCCCUAAGUAGCGGCGAGCGAACGGGGAACAGCCCAAACCAAAGUGCUUGCACUUUGGGGUUGUAGGACUGAACAUUUGAGUUACCAAAGAACUUGAUAGUCGAAGGAUUUGGGAAAAUCCGCCAUAGAUGGUGAUAGCCCAGUAGAUUAAAUCAAAUUCUCUCAGUUCAGGAUCCUGAGUACGGCGGAACACGUGAAAUUCCGUCGGAAUCCGGGAGGACCAUCUCCCAAGGCUAAAUACUACCUAGUGACCGAUAGUGAACCAGUACCGUGAGGGAAAGGUGAAAAGCACCCCGGGAGGGGAGUGAAAUAGUUCCUGAAACCAUGUGCCUACAAUAAGUCAGAGCGCGUUAAUGCGUGAUGGCGUGCCUUUUGUAGAAUGAACCGGCGAGUUAUGAUCCCGUGCAAGGUUAAGACUAAAAAGUCGGAGCCGUAGCGAAAGCGAGUCUGAAAUGGGCGUUUUGAGUACGAGGUUAUAGACCCGAAACCAGGUGACCUAUCCAUGUCCAGGUUGAAGGUGCGGUAAAACGCACUGGAGGACCGAACCCGUGUAAGUUGAAAAUUGCUGGGAUGAGGUGUGGAUAGCGGUGAAAUUCCAAACGAACUUGGAGAUAGCUGGUUCUCUCCGAAAUAGCUUUAGGGCUAGCCUCGGAAUUAGGAUCAUGGAGGUAGAGCACUAUUUGGACUAGGGGCCCGUCUUGGGUUACUGAAUUCAGAUAAACUCCGAAUGCCAUUGAUUCAUAUCCGGGAGUCAGACGAUGAGUGAUAAGAUCCACCGUCGAAAGGGGAACAGCCCAGACCAUCAGUUAAGGUCCCUAAAUGUAUGCUAAGUGGAAAAGGAUGUGGAGUUGCAUAGACAACUAGGAUGUUGGCUCAGAAGCAGCCACCAUUUAAAGAGUGCGUAAUAGCUCACUAGUCGAGUGAUCCUGCGCCGAAAAUGUACCGGGGCUAAGCAUACUACCGAAACCAUGGAUGCGACCAUUAGGUCGCGUGAUAGGAGAGCGUUCUAAGGGCGGUGAAGCAAGAUCGUGAGGACUUGUGGAGCGCUUAGAAGUGAGAAUGCCGGUAUGAGUAGCGAAAGAUAGGUGAGAAUCCUAUCCACCGAAUGACUAAGGUUUCCUGGGGAAGGCUCGUCCUCCCAGGGUUAGUCGGGACCUAAGUCGAGGCCGAGAGGCGUAGACGAUGGAUAACAGGUUGAGAUUCCUGUACUAGUUAAGUGCGUUUGAGCAAUGGAGGGACGCAGGAGGCUAAGAUGUGCAUUCUGUUGGAUUAGAAUGUCCAAGCAGUAAGUCUUGUGAAGAGUCAAAUGCUUUUCACUUUAAGGACAAGCUGUGAUGGGGAGCGAAAUUUAGUAGCGAAGCGUCUGAUGUCACACUGCCGAGAAAAGCUUCUAGUGAGUACUUAACUACCCGUACCGCAAACCGACACAGGUAGUCGAGGAGAGAAUCCUAAGGUGAGCGAGUGAACUCUCGUUAAGGAACUCGGCAAAAUGACCCCGUAACUUCGGGAGAAGGGGUGCUGAUCACAAGAUCAGCCGCAGUGAAUAGGCCCAGGCGACUGUUUAUCAAAAACACAGGUCUCUGCAAAAUCGUAAGAUGACGUAUAGGGGCUGACGCCUGCCCGGUGCUGGAAGGUUAAAAGGAUGGGUUAGCUUCGGCGAAGCUCAGAAUUGAAGCCCCAGUAAACGGCGGCCGUAACUAUAACGGUCCUAAGGUAGCGAAAUUCCUUGUCGGGUAAGUUCCGACCCGCACGAAAGGCGUAACGAUCUGGGCACUGUCUCAACGAGAGACUCGGUGAAAUUAUAUUGUCCGUGAAGAUGCGGACUACCCGCGACAGGACGGAAAGACCCCAUGGAGCUUUACUGUAGCUUGAUAUUGAGUGUUUGUACAGCUUGUACAGGAUAGGUAGGAGCCAUAGAAACCGGAACGCUAGUUUCGGUGGAGGCGUUGGUGGGAUACUACCCUCGCUGUAUGACCACUCUAACCCGCACCACUAAUCGUGGUGGGAGACAGUGUCAGGUGGGCAGUUUGACUGGGGCGGUCGCCUCCUAAAAAGUAACGGAGGCGCCCAAAGGUUCCCUCAGAAUGGUUGGAAAUCAUUCGCAGAGUGUAAAGGCACAAGGGAGCUUGACUGCGAGACAGACAGGUCGAGCAGGGACGAAAGUCGGGCUUAGUGAUCCGGUGGUACCGUAUGGAAGGGCCAUCGCUCAACGGAUAAAAGCUACCCUGGGGAUAACAGGCUUAUCUCCCCCAAGAGUCCACAUCGACGGGGAGGUUUGGCACCUCGAUGUCGGCUCAUCGCAUCCUGGGGCUGUAGUCGGUCCCAAGGGUUGGGCUGUUCGCCCAUUAAAGCGGUACGCGAGCUGGGUUCAGAACGUCGUGAGACAGUUCGGUCCCUAUCCGUCGCGGGCGUAGGAAAUUUGAGAGGACCUGUCCUUAGUACGAGAGGACCGGGAUGGACAUACCUCUGGUGUACCAGUUGUGCCGCCAGGCGCAUCGCUGGGUAGCUACGUAUGGAUGUGAUAAACGCUGAAAGCAUCUAAGUGUGAAACACACCUCGAGAUGAGAUUUCCCAUUCCUUUAUGGAAGUAAGACCCCUGAAAGAUGAUCAGGUAGAUAGGUUAGAAGUGGCAGUGCGGUGACGCAUGAAGCGGACUAAUACUAAUCGGUCGAGGACUUAACCAA
rnacentral:rRNA from 1 species